rnacentral:rRNA from 1 species
GAUGAACGCUGGCGGCGUGCCUAAUACAUGCAAGUCGAGCGAACAGACGAGGAGCUUGCUCCUCUGACGUUAGCGGCGGACGGGUGAGUAACACGUGGAUAACCUACCUAUAAGACUGGGAUAACUUCGGGAAACCGGAGCUAAUACCGGAUAAUAUAUUGAACCGCAUGGUUCAAUAGUGAAAGACGGUUUUGCUGUCACUUAUAGAUGGAUCCGCGCCGCAUGAGCUAGUUGGUAAGGUAACGGCUUACCAAGGCAACGAUGCGUAGCCGACCUGAGCGGGUGGUCGGCCACACUGGAACUGAGACACAGUCCAGACUCCUACGGGAGGCAGCAGUAGGGAAUCUUCCGCAAUGGGCGAAAGCCUGACGGAGCAACGCCGCGUGGGUGAUGAAGGUCUUCGGAUCGGAAAACUCUGUUAUUAGUGAAGAACAAAAGUGUAAGUAGCUAUGAACGUCUUGACGGUACCUGCACAGAAAGCCACGGCUAACUACGUG